rfam:Triticum aestivum genome assembly, contig: Triticum_aestivum_CS42_TGACv1_scaffold_332573_4BS
AAAAUACUUUCUCCGUCCAAAAAUAUUUGUCGGAGAAAUGAAUAAAAAUGGUUGUAUUUAGAAUUAAAAUACGUCUGAUACAUCAAUUUCUCUGACAAGUAUUUCUAGACGAAGGGAGUAAGUU